AUGGCUCAGGAUGAACGCUGGCGGCGUGCCUAACACAUGCAAGUCGAACGGGACUUAUAAGGACAGAGGCUCGGUCAAAGAAUUAUAAGUCCAGUGGCGGACGGGUGAGUAACGCGUGGGGAACCUGCCCUGUAUUGGGGGAUAACAGUGAGAAAUCACUGCUAAUACCGCAUAAGCGCACAUGACCGCAUGGUCAAGUGUGAAAAAACUCCGGUGAUACAGGAUGGACCCGCGUUGGAUUAGCUUGUUGGCGGGGCAACGGCCCACCAAGGCGACGAUCCAUAGCCGGCCUGAGAGGGUGAACGGCCACAUUGGGACUGAGACACGGCCCAGACUCCUACGGGAGGCAGCAGUGGGGAAUAUUGCACAAUGGGGGGAACCCUGAUGCCAGCGACGCCGCGUGAAGGAAGAAGUAUCUCGGUAUGUAAACUUCUAUCAGCAGGGAAGAUAAUGACGGUACCUGACUAAGAAGCCCCGGCUAACUACGUGCCAGCCGCAGC
rnacentral:rRNA from 1 species